rnacentral:misc_RNA from 1 species
ACAGAGCUGAGCAAGUAUAAGUUCUUAUUAUAAAUUCCAACUUCCUAUAUACAAAAAGGUUUAAAAAAAAUGCAAGGGAGAUAGAUCAAGAGAUGACAGUAACUCAAGAUCAGAUCCAAUGUUUUUUGUGAUACAGACACAAAUACAGAUACAAUCUUUCUUAAUACAGAUCGCAUCAUGACUCAUUACACUAAUCUACACAUAAUCUAAAAAUCCAUUUUGUUUUUCAUCAUCCACCAUUUGAGUACAUCAUUUUUCCGAGCAAAAUUUGAAAA